CCUACGGGUGGCAGCAGUGAGGAAUAUUGGUCAAUGGGCGCGAGCCUGACCCAGCCAAGUCGCGUGAGGGCAGACGGUCCUAUGGAUUGUAAACCUCUUUUGUCGGGGAGCAAAAGACGCCACGCGUGGCGUUCCGAGCGUACCCGAAGAACAAGCAUCGGCUAACUCCGUGCCAGCAGCCGCGGUAAUACGGAGGAUGCGAGGGUUGUACGGGUUUUUUGGGUUUAAGGGGUGCGCAGGCGGAAGAUCACGUCAGCGGUAAAAUUGCGGGGCUCAACCUCUUCGAGCCGUUGAAACUGGUUUGCUUGAGUGAGCGAGAGGUAGGCGGAAUGCGGGGUGGAGCGGUGAAAUGCAUAGAUAUCACGCAGAACGCCGAUUGCGAAGGCAGCAUACCGGCGCUCAACUGACGCGCAUGCACGAAAGUGUGGGUAUCGAACAGGAUUAGAUACCCCAGUAGUC
rnacentral:rRNA from 1 species